CACUGAAAGCAGAAUGAUACAGAGAAAAUUAGCAUGGCCCCUGUGCAAGGAUGACACAGAAACUUGUGUCCAUAUGUAA
rnacentral:snRNA from 1 species